rnacentral:rRNA from 1 species
GAUGAACGCUGGCGGCGUGCCUAAUACAUGCAAGUCGAGCGAACGGACGAGAAGCUUGCUUCUCUGAUGUUAGCGGCGGGCGGGUGAGUAACACGUGGAUAACCUACCUAUAAGACUGGGAUAACUUCGGGAAACCGGAGCUAAUACCGGAUAAUAUUUUGAACCGCAUGGUUCAAAAGUGAAAGACGGUCUUGCUGUCUCUUAUAGAUGGAUCCGCGCUGCAUUAGCUAGUUGGUAAGGUAACGGCUUACCAAGGCAACGAUGCAUAGCCGACCUGAGAGGGUGAUCGGCCACACUGGAACUGAGACACGGUACAGACUCCUACGGGAGGCAGCAGUAGGGAAUCUUCCGCAAUGGGCGAAAGCAUGACGGAGCAACGCCGCGUGAGUGAUGAAGGUCUUCGGAUCGUAAAACUCUGUUAUUAGGGAAGAACAUAUGUGUAAGUAACUGUGCACAUCUUGACGGUACCUAAUCAGAAAGCCACGGCUAACUACGUG